rnacentral:rRNA from 1 species
GAUGAACGCUGGCGGCGUGCCUAAUACAUGCAAGUCGAGCGAACAGACGAGGAGCUUGCUCCUCUGACGUUAGCGGCGGACGGGUGAGUAACACGUGGAUAACCUACCUAUAAGACUGGGAUAACUUCGGGAAACCGGAGCUAAUACCGGAUAAUAUAUUGAACCGCAUGGUUCAAUAGUGAAAGACGGUUUUGCUGUCACUUAUAGAUGGAUCCGCGCCGCAUUAGCUAGUUGGUAAGGUAACGGCUUACCAAGGCAACGAUGCGUAGCCGACCUGAGAGGGUGAUCGGCCACACUGGAACUGAGACACGGUCCAGACUCCUACGGGAGGCAGCAGUAGGGAAUCUUCCGCAAUGGGCGAAAGCCUGACGGAGCAACGCCGCGUGAGUGAUGAAGGUCUUCGGAUCGUAAAACUCUGUUAUUAGGGAAGAACAAAUGUGUAAGUAACUAUGCACGUCUUGAGGGUACCUAAUCAGAAAGCCACGGCUAACUACGUG